GACGAACGCUGGCGGCGUGCUUAACACAUGCAAGUCGAACGGUGAAGCGUCUUCCUUUUUGGUGGGUGUGGAUGAGUGGCGAACGGGUGAGUAACACGUGAGUAACCUGCCCCCUUCUUCUGGAUAACCGCAUGAAAGUGUGGCUAAUACGGGAUAUUCUGGGUCUGUCGCAUGAUGGGUCUGGGAAAGAUAUUGUUUCUGUGGGGGAUGGGCUCGCGGCCUAUCAGCUUGUUGGUGGGGUGAUGGCCUACCAAGGCGGUGACGGGUAGCCGGCCUGAGAGGGUGGACGGUCACACUGGGACUGAGACACGGACCAGACUCCUACGGGAGGCAGCAGUGGGGAAUAUUGCACAAUGGGAGCAAGCCUGAUGCAGCGACGCCGCGUGAGGGAUGGAGGCCUUCGGGUUGUGAACCUCUUUCGCCAGUGAAGCAGGCCUGCCUCGUUUGUGGGUGGGUUGACGGUAGCUGGAGAAGAAGCGCCGGCUAACUACGUG
rnacentral:rRNA from 1 species